UGGGGAAUUUUGGACAAUGGACGCAAGUCUGAUCCAGCCAUGCCGCGUGCGGGAAGAAGGCCUUCGGGUUGUAAACCGCUUUUGUCAGGGAAGAAACUAGUUUCACUAAUACAGAGACUUAAUGACGGUACCUGAAGAAUAAGCACCGGCUAACUACGUGCCAGCAGCCGCGGCAAUACGUAGGGUGCAAGCGUUAAUCGGAAUUACUGGGCGUAAAGCGUGCGCAGGCGGUUAUGCAAGACAGAUGUGAAAUCCCCGGGCUCAACCUGGGAACUGCCUUUGUGACUGCAUAGCUAGAGUACGGUAGAGGGGGAUGGAAUUCCGCGUGUAGCAGUGAAAUGCGUAGAUAUGCGGAGGAACACCGAUGGCGAAGGCAAUCCCCUGGACCUGUACUGACGCUCAUGCACGAAAGCGUGGGGAGCAAACA
rnacentral:rRNA from 1 species